rnacentral:piRNA from 1 species
UACUGCUGGUGGGAACAUGGGAUGGGG